CCUACGGGUGGCAGCAGUGGGGAAUAUUGCACAAUGGGGGAAACCCUGAUGCAGCGACGCCGCGUGAGGGAAGAAGUAUUUCGGUACGUAAAGCUCUAUCAGCAGGGAAGAAAAUGACGGUACCUGACUAAGAAGCCCCGGCUAACUACGUGCCAGCAGCCGCGGUAAUACGUAGGGGGCAAGCGUUACCCGGAUUUACUGGGUGGAAAGGGUGCGUAGGCGGGAGCAUAAGUCAGAAGUGAAAUCCCAUGGCUUAACCAUGGAACUGCUUUUGAAACUGUUCAGCUAGAGUGCAGGAGAGGUAGGCGGAAUUCCUGGUGUAGCGGUGAAAUGCGUAGAUAUUAGGAGGAAUACCAGUGGCGAAGGCGGCUUACUGGACUGUAACUGACGUUGAGGCUCGAAAGCGUGGGGAGCAAACAGGAUUAGAUACCCUGGUAGUC
rnacentral:rRNA from 1 species